rnacentral:rRNA from 1 species
AUGAACGCUAGCGGCAGGCCUAAUACAUGCAAGUCGGACGGGAUUCAGGAGCUUGCUUCUGAUGAGAGUGGCGCACGGGUGCGUAACACGUAUGUAACCUACCUUUAUCAGGGGGAUAGCCUCUCGAAAGAGAGAUUAAGCCCGCAUAAAAUCACAGUACAGCAUUGUGUAAUGAUCAAAUAUUUAUAGGAUAAAGAUGGGCAUGCGGAACAUUAGCUAGAUGGCGGGGUAACGGCCCACCAUGGCGACGAUGUUUAGGGGAUCUGAGAGGAUGGCCCCCCACACUGGUACUGAGACACGGACCAGACUCCUACGGGAGGCAGCAGUAAGGAAUAUUGGUCAAUGGGCGGAAGCCUGAACCAGCCAUGCCGCGUGCAGGAAGACGGCCCUACGGGUUGUAAACUGCUUUUAUACGGGAAUAAACCCAGAUACGUGUAUCUGGCUGAAUGUACUGUAAGAAUAAGGAUCGGCUAACUCCGUG